GUCAUAUUUAAGGUCAUUUUCGUACAAGUUUCCUUUUACAGAACAACAAAGUAUCAAUAUGACUACCCAAUUUCUCUUUCUUUACAUUCCUUCCAUCUUGUAUCAUACCAUUGUCAGUCUAUAUUAAUUUUUCCUGUCAUAUUUAAGUUCAUUUUCAUACAAGUUUCCUUUUACAGAACAACAAAGUAUCAUUAGCACUACUUAAUUUCUUUCUUUUUAUUCCCUUAUCCUCUUGUAUCAUUCCAUUUUUAAGCUGCAUAUACUUAAGAUUAACUAGCACUUCAUAUCUUUCUUCCAUACCAUUGCCAGUCUAUAUUAAUUUUUCCUCUCAUACUUAAGUUCAUUUUCAUACAAGUUUCCUCUCACAGAACAACAAAGUAUCAUUAGCACUACCCAAUUUCUCUUUCUUUUCAUUCCUUUCAUCUUGUGUCAUUCCAUUUUUAAGCUGCAUAUUCUUAAGAGCGUCCUACUUAACCUUAGUUUUAUACAAGUUUUGUCUAACAGAACAAUUAGUAUCAAUAUUUUUACUUGUAUAUCCUUCUAAUCCUUUUUUUGUAUGUUUAUAUUUUCAUUUUGCAGAGGGUUGAACUUUCUGUCAACUCAUCUUCACCACAGACUCUCAUGUUAUUAAGAAUUCAAGACAUAUAUGAAAACCAACACUAAACAAGUACAGCACUCCAUAACACAUAAGCCAGCAUCAUUAUCACUCUUCUUAUCUUCAUUAUACUCAUCAUUACCAAACACCAUCGUAAGCGUUACAGUGUGGAGGGCUUUGUCGAGGCUCAUCUGCCUGGGGAAAGGAUGGAUGGAAGGCCUGACCUUUAUUACCCUGGUGGUGGUGGUGGAAUAUUACUUAUCUGUCUGUGUUCAUGUGUAUUUGUUGAACUAGAUUUGUGUCAAGCUUGUAAUAUCUCAUUCUCUUAUCUUCUCUUACCUCUGUUUAUUUAUUUUAUUUUUUUACAUCAAAGGACACGGCUCAAGGGCAACAAAAAGAGUGCAAAAAAAUAAAAGCCCGCUUCUCGCCGCUCCCAUAAAAGAUAAAAGUAGCCAAAAGAGAGGUCAAAUUCGGGUGGGUAUUUUUAUCAGAUUCAGUCAGGCUUGUAUAGUCACAUAUUUCUUUGUUUUCACUUCUGCAUAUUAAGUCGAGCUUGUAAUCUCAUAUUUUUAAUCUGUUGUCAUUAGUAUUUACUUAUUCCAGAUUGAGUCCAGAUUGUAAUGUAUGUUUUAUUUUUUUAACUUUCUCGCUAGUUUUUAUUUUUUACCAGGUUCAGUCAAGCUUGUAAUGUCUCCUAUCUCUCCCCUCUGACUUGUGCAGGUUCAGUCAAGCUUGUAAUGUCUCCUGUUUUUUUCUACUCUUACUUGUGCAGGUUCAGUCAAGCUUGUAAUGUCUCCUAUUUGUUUGUUUUUACUUGUGCAGGUCGAGUCAAGCUUGUCAUCUCUCAUAAUCUCAUAUUUUUAGCCUGUUUCCAGUAUUUACUUGUGCAGAUUGGAUCUCAUAUUUUCACUCUUCUUAUCAGGAUUUACUUAUUCCAGAUUUUAUUCCAGAUAUAGUCAAGCUUAGAACCUCUCAUAAUUUUAGUCUAUUACCAGUAUUCACAUAUUCCAGAUGAGUUAAGCUUCUAAAGUCUCAUAUUUUUUAGUUUGUUACCAGUAUUUACUUUUUCCAGAUUGAGUCAGGCUUGUAAUGUCCCAUAUCUUCACUCAAUAGCACCUUUUCUCUCAUAAUGACCUCUUUACCAUCACCACCACCACCGUCACUAUUACAGAACCUCUAAUUAUCACUCACAUAUUUUCCCUAAUGACCCAUAAUGACCUCUCUCACUACCACCAUUACUGUUACAAAACCUCUAAUUAUCACUCGCAUAUUUUCCCUAAUGACCCAUAAUGACCUGUCUCACUACCACCAUUAUUAAACAUGACCUUAUUAUCACCUACAAUUUUUUCCACUAAUGACCUCACCUUCCUAAUCUCUCACCAUACCACCCUUACUAAACAUGACCUCAUAUCACCUACAAUUUUCCACUAAUGACCCCACUUCCGUAAUCCCUCACCAUUACUAUAUACGACCUCAUUACGUACCAACCCACCACCACUACAGUUCAUGACCUCAAUAUCCCCCUUACUAAACCCCCUUUCCACCCUCCCCACCACCCCGAACCACCCCCGUUGACCCCCCUCUGCCGGGAUUGUCGCUCCCCGCCAGGCGAUCUCUGUUCUGAACCGUCUCGAAUUCAAUCAAACACUAUAGCAUGUUGUCUGUGUAUACCUGCAUCUCUCCGGCGUAUGUCGAUCCUUUUUGUAUGAUACGUCUCGUGGGUCGUGUGCCAAUAAUGGUUAAUGCGGCGUCAUCCUGGUUACUAUACUUGACCAUAGAAGUGGAUUUUUUUUUUUCUCGGGUUUUUUUUUUUUCUGUCUCGGUUCUUUCAAGUGACGAAAUACAGCAGUCAUACUAAAGA